rnacentral:lncRNA from 1 species
GUCCAUGUUAGAGACAGAAACAGAAAGAGGGAAAAGAGUGUAAGACAGUGGGAGCAGAGACCAAGAGACAAAGUGUUUUGCAGUAUCUUCUAUUAUCAGUCAAGAGGUGUAAAGUUAGUAUCAGUCUCACAAAAAAAUGACUUCUGGACCUGGCCUUGACUCCCAGUGAGAGCAGCUCCAAGGCAGUUGAGGGAAAAGGCCAAAUAAACAAAGUGAAAUGUGUCCUGUUUGAGAGGCAGCAAAUUGACAAAACUGGACUUGAGAAACAGACAGAGGAUCCCCCCAAUUCUCCAGAGGCGGGGCUCUACCCAGAGAAGGAAAGAAAGCAUCCUACUCCUGGCUGGAAUUUUUCAUUCCAGAGAAGGGGGAGGGGUGAGGGGUGCUCGAGGUUGGUGGAGGGACAGGCUAGAAAUGAAGUUGCAGAUGGCUGGCAAGCCCCUGGGCCUUUCUGGAUGAUUAGACUUCCUCUCAGCCAACUACUUAAGAGGAGGGGUGGCCCUCCUCUGGCCUCAGAAGAGGAGCUUUCCUGGGAAAGGUGUGCAUGUGGCCCCUGGGACCGAGGUGCUUUUCCACGGUGGCACUUCCCAAGUUUAAGACAAUUCUCUAGUGCCAAGAACUGUUAGAGCCUUCAGUCAAGGCCAGACUGCCAAUACAGUCCCAGCUAUCAGAGGAACAGAUUUGGAGGACCUGCCUGCACGCCCUACACUUCCGGAGCAAAGACCUCAGAGGGGUCCCAAAGUCCUGCUGGGUCCGUAUGGUAACCCUUAUCUUCUCUGAUUUAAAUCCUGUUGUCAUGAGCUCUGCCUUCUCUCCUGGGUCUAAGCUGACUAUAAAGGCCUGACACUGGGACUCAGGUAUAACUUCCUAGGUGGAGAGAGGAGCUGACCAUGGUGCAUCUCAGCAGCAUUGGCAAAUAGGUUCUUUAAGCAAUCUCUGAGGACGUCUGGUGUCAGAGGGCCAAUCUGGGCCCUUCCAGGUGGCUACUGGUAGGAUUUUUGUCAGGUUACUCUCCCUCUCUAGGCCUCAGUUUCCUCCUCUGUACAAUGAGAAUGUUGGACUACAUAUAUCUAAUGUCUCCCCUACUUCUAAAUCUUAUGUUUCAGCCUAUUCAUCAGAGUAGAUGCCCACCCUCACUACUGCUUUAGAUCCCAACCCUCCAUGCCUUGGCGUGCUACCUGGGGGGUAUACCCCAAAUUCACUGCUAGUCAGCUAAUCUGAUCAAGUGCCUGCACAAAAUUCAGCUGGUCCUCUGAUAAAAAACACAUGGCUCAACCCCAGACCCAGACUUGAGGCUUUUCCAGCUGGGCAAGCUGAGCCUUCAGGAGUGCAGGGUCACCUUCACACCACAAUAAGGUCCUAGAGGAGAACAUUAGAACAAACAAAAGAAUUACAUUGUAGGAAUUAGGCAUGCUACAUAAUCAGACAGAGAGGCAGCCUGGUGUGGUAGAGUAAGAGUCAGGAAGGCCUGGGUCCCUUCCAUUCCAGCCUUUGACACACACUGACUGGGUGACCCUGGGAAAUUGCUGAACCUCUCAGUGCCCCAAGCAACUUUCUCUGACUUGAAGUUACAAAAGAGUUAUUGAUCUGCAGCAGUGGAAAGCAUUUCCACACUAGGAGUUUCCCACAUGGAUGAAAUCAAGUCAGGAUCAAAAGCAACAUUUUAAAAAUGACCAAUACAUAUUCAGACGGUAGUAAGGGCCUGCGCUGGGUGCAUUAUAAGUCAUAACAGCUAACAAAAAAUGCAAAUUCACCUUUAACUGUGACUCUCCAUCAUUUCUCUCACAGCAUUCCUCAGAGGGGGCUGCUAGUCACAGUUCCUAUGAUUUUAUAGAUCUAUGUGUACAUCACUACCAUUUUUGGUCCCUUGCCCAAAGUAUUACAACAAUUGAUACCCACAGUAGACUGAGACUAUGGUGGUACCAGUCUCCUAUUUGAUAUCUCCUCAAAUUUGCCAUUUCAUUUUCUGCCCUCUUUCCUCAACCAGGCAUUCAGAAUUAUUAAAGGCAAUGCCACCCCAAGCCCAGGACAGGAUGAAAAGGUCUUAUUGUUUUUUGUGACCCAGUUAAUUAAACUAAUAUGAAUGUAAGGUAUUAUUCUAAAUCUUGAUUCUUCAAUCUAUGUGCUAUCUCACACACACACGCACACACACACACACACACACACACACAUAUACAAUGUACUCACAUCUUUGGGGUCUCAGCCCCCUUGGUUUGUAUUCAUGUUCCCCUGCAUCAGUGCACAUAGAUAUCUGAUAAUUAGGUAUCCAAAUGAAAAAUUGUUAAGCCUGCCUGGGUAGUUUGGGGGUGGUAAGAAACAAAGCAGUUGACAUAGAGGCAAAGUGCAGAAUUUGGAAAUUAGUGCUUCCAGGAAUUUCCCCCAAAGCCUCUAGCCCCUCUGUUGUGAUAAGAUACCAAGUCUCCAGCCUCAGGACAAUUCUAAAGCUGUAGCUUGAGCAAUUGCUCUGUGAUCGUUUUACUUCCUAACCAAGUGGGGGCAAAAGACCACAUUACUGAAAGGAGGCUGAUGCAAUUCUUUGGAGCAGCCGACGGUCUUCUUUUCCAAGUGAUGGACCAUGUCAGUGGGUGAAGGGUCAUUGGGGAAGUGAAGCCACUUUUGGUCAGGAGAGGAGGGAAAAUCAGCUUGGCCUUUGGGAUAGGGUAGAUAGGAUCUGAUUGGAUCAGGGGCCCGGUUAGUCCAGCACUCUAGUUAAGUAAAAUGGAUUGGGGGUGGGGGUGGGGAGAAGAGCCAGGAGGGCAAUGCAAACCAGAUCUAGCCUGGGGAAGCCACCAUUAACAGGAAAUACCUCUCAGCUCUCCCAGGAGAUCUUAUGGAACAUAGAAACCCAGGUUGAACAAGUGAAGCAUUUAGCACAAAAGGAGGAUUGCCUAGAAUUUGAGCUGAUAGGGAUGAAUUUCCUAGCUCAAUUGUGGAGUGAAGCCUUUAGCAGUCUCCUCCAUAUGGCGUGUUAUACAUAUGACUAGGCCAUGUUUGGAAUAUUCUUCUGAAAUAUCAACCGUAGAAUAAUAGAACCUGACCUUCAUUCGGUAGCAGCUGUACCUUGGCUGGAGAUUCGAUGCUUUGGCCUGGGAAACGUCCUAAUCUUGUCUAUUUUCAGCUCUCUCCUCUUCCUGAUGCCUUACCCAUCCCUUGUCCAGGAUCAUGUGGGGCUCCCUGGAUUUUCACAGUGUUUGGGUAUACCUUAGCUCCCAACACUAUUUAGUAUUUAUAGGCAAGAAUACAAUGGUGUCAGAGGAAAUGUUGGACUCUAUUGUGUCAAGUUUCAUACACUUCCACCAGAUUAGAAAGAGGAAAUACUCGAGAGAGCUGAACCACUCAAACCUGGCCAAAUCCUAUUCACAAUGAAUCAGGUUUCCUCAGCCUUCUGGGACUUGGUUUCCCAGGCUCUGAUUGAUUCUGUUUAUGGUAUUAUGUGUGCAGGUAGUGAGGGAGGGAGGAAGCAAGCACUUCUGUAUGGUACCUACUAUGUGCCAUGAGCACUUUUUACAAAUAUUAUCUCAUUUGAUCCUCACAACAACCCCAUGAGGUAAGUGGGAGAAAACUCUGCUUUUAAGGUAACCCCUGGAAAGUUCCCACCUUGUAAACUACUGAGAUUGAUUUAUUAACUGAGGAGGGCCGAGAGGCUAAAUAUUCUGCAGGAGUUGGGGAGAUCCCAAGUUUAGCAUACUUCAUUAUUGUUAAAAAUCAAAAGAAAGAGUGGAAAAUGGGAGUACCUGCAAUGAGCUGUCUGGAUUGAGUUCACAUGUGUAGGUCAAAGUUAAUGCUUCAUUUUGGGUUGGAUUUUCUUGGUCUACCUUCAGUUGACCUGCUUCCUGCCCAUUGUCAAUGGGAAAGCAUCUCUCUGAUAAAAUGAGCUCACCCAGUGAUUAAUUGUGGGCAUAAUUGGCUGUAAAAACGGGGCAUAAAUGUGUGUGCAUAUAAUUUUUUCUUCCUCUGCAACUCAUCUGAAGCACAAAUGUUGGCCCAUUGCCUCUGCUCACUGCACAAUCUGUUAACCAUUUAUGAAACGCCCUAGUGGUAACUACGUUCUGCCUCCUUCGCAGCUAAAAGCCAUUCCUUGAACCCAGCUUACAUAGAGUCCUUGUGGUUUUUUCAUUGGGGUGAAUAAAUGUCCUUCCUUCCAGAUUCCUCCA